AUGCAAGUCGAACGGUAACAGGAAACAGCUUGCUGUUUCGCUGACGAGUGGCGGACGGGUGAGUAAUGUCUGGGAAACUGCCUGAUGGAGGGGGAUAACUACUGGAAACGGUAGCUAAUACCGCAUAACGUCGCAAGACCAAAGAGGGGGACCUUCGGGCCUCUUGCCAUCGGAUGUGCCCAGAUGGGAUUAGCUAGUAGGUGGGGUAACGGCUCACCUAGGCGACGAUCCCUAGCUGGUCUGAGAGGAUGACCAGCCACACUGGAACUGAGACACGGUCCAGACUCCUACGGGAGGCAGCAGUGGAGAAUAUUGCACAAUGGGCGCAAGCCUGAUGCAGCCAUGCCGCGUGUAUGAAGAAGGCCUUCGGGUUGUAAAGUACUUUCAGCGGGGAUGAAGGGAGUAAAGUUAAUACCUUUGCUCAUUGACGUUACCCGCAGAAGAAGCACCGGCUAACUCCGUGCCAGCAGCCGCGGUAAUACGGAGGGUGCAAGCGUUAAUCGGAAUUACUGGGCGUAAAGCGCACGCAGGCGGUUUGCUAAGUCAGAUGUGAAAUCCCCGGGCUCAACCUGGGAACUGCAUCUGAUACUGGCAAGCUUGAGUC
rnacentral:rRNA from 1 species